rnacentral:rRNA from 1 species
CCUACGGGUGGCAGCAGUGAGGAAUAUUGGUCAAUGGACGAAAGUCUGAACCAGCCAAGUAGCGUGAAGGAUGACUGCCCUAUGGGUUGUAAACUUCUUUUAUAUGGGAAUAAAAUGUUCCACGUGUGGGAUUUUGUAUGUACCAUAUGAAUAAGGAUCGGCUAACUCCGUGCCAGCAGCCGCGGUAAUACGGAGGAUUCGAGCGUUAUCCGGAUUUAUUGGGUUUAAAGGGAGCGUAGGUGGAUUGUUAAGUCAGUUGUGAAAGUUUGCGGCUCAACCGUAAAAUUGCAGUUGAAACUGGCAGUCUUGAGUACAGUAGAGGUGGGCGGAAUUCGUGGUGUAGCGGUGAAAUGCUUAGAUAUCACGAAGAACUCCGAUUGCGAAGGCAGUUCACUGGACUGCAACUGACACUGAGGCUCGAAAGUGUGGGUAUCAAACAGGAUUAGAUACCCCUGUAGUC